GAUUUCAUCGGUGACUGAGGGAGAGGUGGGGCAUGAUGAGAGGAGGACAGUGUUCCUAGUAGGGAGCCACUUGUCUUUCUCCCCAUAUUUUGGGAAGAGGAGAAAGGGCUGUGUGUUCUCCCCUCACCCAGAUUAGUGCCUACAAGAUCACUUGUGCAGCUGGAGUGUCCGUCGGGAGUGGAGAAUGCCACCUCCUUGCUUGGCAGGAUGCUUGCUGAGUCUGACAUUCUGCUUUUGUGCUGCAGGUCCGGGACACAGGGGAAGAGCCUGGAUACACGGCAAGGAACUGCUACUCAGAGCCCUCAGCGCUGCAGCGCACAUUAAUGGGGAGAGGAAACUCUAAGGGUCUGCCAGUUCCAGUGGGCUAUUAUUCCUACACCCUUUGAGCAAACUGGAAAGCUCCUUCGAACAGAGUUUGAAGCAAAGUCUGGGAUUCUGCAGACAUUUUGUGUCCCUGAGAACAGAAAGCAGGCAAGAGGAGGCCUACGGUACUCCGAAUUUCUCUGGAAGGCAGUGGUGGUGACCAUGGGACUAAAUUCUAACCAGUGGAAAGCAAGCAGAUCAGAAUUUCCGAUCCAUCUUUAGUCUGUUUCCCUGGCGGCUGACCGGAGGAGAAUCCGGAGAUGGGAGCUCUACUAAAGGCCCUGGCUCCGCAUACGACCAGGAUUGCCAAGAUGGACUCAAAGUGGCUUCUCACAGAGUCGGAUGUGGAGGGGCCCAGAGGCUCCGUCUGCACACCGGACACCAAAGGACUCAGUAGAGGUCUGGAGCUCUCUGCGCUGCCCCAUGCAGGUCCAGAUCAGAAGGCGGAUGGGUCUGCACUGGAAGCCAGGAGGUGAUGUGCAAGGUGAAGGUGGAGCCUGAAGCUCCUGCACUCCUCUGGAGAGACAGCGGCAGCUCUGUCCUUCAUUUCCCCUUCACACCAUCCAGACAGCAUACUGUCCUAGGGUGGGCCCUCCACACCCCAGGUGUGGGACUGCUGAGCCCAUUUAGCUGGGCUUCUCUUACUCAAGUUGACACAGUUAAUCAGCUAUCACAGGAAUACUCUGUAAAAUUCAGUAAGUGAUUAAAAACACCACUGUAUUCAGCUUUCAGCCUAAGGAACAAACUGUUGACCAAUGGUUUUGCAGUCCUUGGAAGGAUCUGCUCACAUCCAUCAACUUCCUCCACAUGUGCUGUAUACCACGAUCUUACAGCCUAACUCUGUCACAGCUGUGUUGUUUUAUAUGACAUGUAACUUCAAAUAAACCUUUUAGAAUGUCUUACUUGCUUUUUGACUUUAAACAAAUGGAAUCACACUGCA